rnacentral:rRNA from 1 species
CCUUUGACGUUAGCGGCGGACGGGUGAGUAACACGUGGGUAACCUACCUAUAAGACUGGGAUAACUUCGGGAAACCGGAGCUAAUACCGGAUAAUAUUUCGAACCGCAUGGUUCGAUAGUGAAAGGUGGUUUUGCUAUCACUUAUAGAUGGACCUGCGCCGUAUUAGCUAGUUGGUAAGGUAACGGCUUACCAAGGCGACGAUACGUAGCCGACCUGAGAGGGUGAUCGGCCACACUGGAACUGAGACACGGUCCAGACUCCUACGGGAGGCAGCAGGU